GAUGAAUGCUGGCGGCGUGCCUAACACAUGCAAGUCGAGCGGCAACGCGGGGUGCUUGCACCCCGUCGGCGAGCGGCGAACGGCUGAGUAACGCGUAGGAAUUUGCCCCAAAGUGAGGAAUAACUGCCCGAAAGGGUAGCCAAUUCCGCAUAAGGUCUUCGGACUAAAGGAUUUAUACGCUUUGGGCGGUGCCUUCGUUGGUUUAGGUUGUUGGCAGGGGAAUGGCCUACCAAGCCGACGAUCCAUAGCUGGGCUGAGAGGAUGGUCAGCCAGACUGGAACUGAGACGCAGUCGGGACUCUUACGGGAGGCAGCAGAGACUGAUCGAGCACAGUGGGCUGAAGGCUGAAGGAGCUAGGCUGCGUAAAGGAUGUAGGCCGUCAGGUAGUAAACUUCUUUUAUGAGUGAAGAAUAUGACGGUAACUCAUGAAUAAGCACCGGCUAACUACGUG
rnacentral:rRNA from 1 species